UCGGGUCGUCAACUUUGUAUUUUUAGAAGACCUUUUUCGGAAGGUAUGCUUAAAGAGGGGCUUGCGUCACAUUAGUUAGUUGGCAGGGUAAAGGCCUACCAAGACUAUGAUGUGUAGCUGGACUGAGAGGUUGAACAGCCACAUUGGGACUGAGACACGGCCCAAACUCCUACGGGAGGCAGCAGUAGGGAAUUUUCGGCAAUGGAGGAAACUCUGACCGAGCAACGCCGCGUGAACGAUGAAGUAUUUCGGUAUGUAAAGUUCUUUUAUUGAAGAAGAAAAAAUAGUGGAAAAACUAUCUUGACGAUAUUCAAUGAAUAAGCCCCGGCAAACUAUGUGCCAGCAGCCGCGGUAAUACAUAGGGGGCGAGCGUUAUCCGGAAUUAUUGGGCGUAAAGGGUGCGUAGGCGGUUUAAUAAGUCUAUAGUUUAAUUUCAGUGCUUAACACUGUCCUGCUAUAGAAACUAUUAGACUAGAGUGAGAUAGAGGCAAGUGGAAUUCCAUGUGUAGCGGUAAAAUGCGUAAAUAUAUGGAGGAACACCAGAGGCGUAGGCGGCUUGCUGGGUCUUUACUGACGCUGAGGCACGAAAGCGUGGGGAGCAAACAGGAUUAGAUACCCUGGUAGUCCACGCCGUAAACGAUGAGUACUAAGUGUCGGGAUUACUCGGUACUGAAGUUAACACAUUAAGUACUCCGCCUGAGUAGUACGUACGCAAGUAUGAAACUUAAAGGAAUUGACGGGACUCCGCACAAGCGGUGGAUCAUGUUGUUUAAUUCGAAGAUACACGAAAAACCUUACCAGGUCUUGACAUACUCUGCAAAGCUAUAGCAAUAUAGUGGAGGUUAUCAGGGAUACAGGUGGUGCAUGGUUGUCGUCAGCUCGUGUCGUGAGAUGUUAGGUUAAGUCCUAAAACGAGCGCAACCCUUGUCAUUAGUUGCCAGCAUGUCAUGAUGGGCACUUUAAUGAGACUGCCAAUGAAAAAUUGGAGGAAGGUGAGGAUCACGUCAAAUCAUCAUGCCCCUUAUGAUCUGGGCUACAAACGUGAUACAAUGGCUGUUACAAAGAGUAGCUGAAACGCAAGUUUAUAGCCAAUCUCAUAAAAGCAGUCUCAGUUCGGAUUGAAGUCUGCAACUCGACUUCAUGAAGUUGGAAUCGCUAGUAAUCGCGAAUCAGCAUGUCGCGGGAAAUUUUUUGGG
rnacentral:rRNA from 1 species